rnacentral:snRNA from 1 species
GUGCUGGCGCCCAGAGAACAUAUACUAAAAUUGGAACAAUACAGAGAUUAGUGUGGCCCCGAUAACAUGCAGAUUAGUUCAUCAUUCCGUAUUUUU